UACGUAGGGGGGCAAGCGUUGUCCGGAAUCAUUGGGCGUAAAGAGCGUGUAGGCGGUUCGGUAAGUCGGCUGUGAAAGUCCAGGGCUCAACCCUGGGAUGCCGGUCGAUACUGCCGGACUAGAGUUCGGAAGAGGCGAGUGGAAUUCCCGGUGUAGCGGUGAAAUGCGCAGAUAUCGGGAGGAACACCUAUGGCGAAGGCAGCUCGCUGGGACGUUACUGACGCUGAGACGCGAAAGCGUGGGGAGCAAACAGGG
rnacentral:rRNA from 1 species